UUCAGCAUCAACAUGGGUUUAGGUUAAGUUUUUAAAAUUUUUUCUUAUGUAAAUAUUUUUACAUUAAAUCAUAAAAUCUUUUUAGAUCAAAUCUAAAUCUUUUAUGAUUUCAAAUCUUAUUAAAUUAAUUUUAAUCAUUAAGAUUAGAUGUUAUUACCUUUCUUACAACUUGUAUCAUAUACAAUAAAUCAUAGGAUUUCAAGAUCUUGAGUUUUGCAGAAAAGUAAGUUUUUUUCUUUCACAUUCUUCUUCAUGGGACCUCACAGUGGCACCCCUACAUGCCAUAAGAGCACCCUAUUGAAUGAGAGAAGAGGAUAAUAUAACCCUACUUGCUCCUAUG
rnacentral:lncRNA from 1 species